AACUCCUGGACUCAAGCAAUCCUCCUGCCUUAGCCUCCACAAGUGCUGGGAUUACAGGCAUGAGCAACUGCAUCCGGCUAAACAACCUCUCUUCUUGCAACACUGUUUCCUUGUGAGCUCAUUAACAUGCUAAUUACCACAUUCCACAGGAAGAUGGAUUACAGAGCAAUAAGACAGGCUGGGUUCACCCUGGAACGUGACCAGUAGUGACAGCCUCUAACAAUGACACAGGUACCGUUAUCGAUGCUGGGAGAAGAGAAAAGGACAUCAUUUUGCCCUCAGGGAGCUCAUGGUCUAACGGAGAGAGAGACAUGUGAACAACUACAACGUCUGCGGUCUAAGAAAACACUAAAUUGGAGACGUGUUCAAAGCAGUGCAGGGGAGGGAGCGGAGUGAGACUUCCGGGGUCACCCAGAAGGGCUUCCCGGCAGGUAAGUUGCAGCUAACCCACACAGAUGUUAAUUACAGCAAGAAAAGAUCUUUCACAGUGCUCCCUGUGCGUCAGGCAGGCUAGAGGUCUUGUCAAAAGUAUGGCAUAUGUAUCACAUGCAAAAUGAUUUGAAGUAGAAUGUGGACCAAUUUUUAAUUUUUUACUUAUGCAUCUAAAUGUGCAUUACAAAAAAAUAUAAUGAGAAAACCAAACUUUCACCAAUAUGAUUGCUCAGAGUGAGGCUAAAGGAAUGAGUUUUAAAACUGAUUUGAAUCACAAAUAGUGCUUAGAUGUGGAGAGCAUCUUAAAUGUGGCUUGCCAAUGACUGGAUUUUGGAAAGCACCGAUAUGCGCAUCUUUUUUUUUUUUUUUUUUUUUUUUUUUUUUUUUGAGAUGGAGUCUUGCUCUGUCGCCAGGCUGGAGUGCAGUGGCGUGAUACCGGCUCACUGCAAUCUCCAUCUCCUGGGUUCAAGCGAUUCCCCUGCCUCAGCCUCCCCGAGUAGCUGUGACUCCAGGCACGCACCACUAUGCCCGGCUAAUUUUUUGUAUUUUAGUAGAGACAAGGUUUCACCACGAUGGCCAGGAAAGUCUCGAUCUCCUAACCUUGUGAUCUGCCCACCUUGGCCUCCCAAAGUGCUGGGAUUACAGGCGUGAACCACCGCACCCGGCCACAUGCAUCUUAUUUUAGUGAGAUGAGAUGUAGGAGUUAGCGAGGUAGGGAAAGGGAAGAACAGUAGACACAAGGAACACCAACUCAAAGCACACAGGAGAGAGUGCACGGGCUGCCUGAGAACAGGUGGUGGUGAAGCACGGUGGGCUGCGGGGCACGCGGAGGGCUGGAGGAGUGUGCGGGAGCAGAACCCCUGCUUCUGUGUUCCACUGCCUGUGUAAACUUCUCAGGUCGGUUCCCAUGGUCAUGUCUCUCCAGGAAGUUUCUCAAUGGCACACACCAUGUUACCCUCCCUUAUGUCAAGCUUGUCCAACCCGUGGCCCAGGAUGGCUAUGAAUGCAGCCCAACACAGAUUUGUAAACUUUCUUAAAACAUUAUGAGAUUUUUUUUUUUUUAGCUCAUCAGCUAUCAUUAUUGUAUUUUACAUGGAGCCCAAGACAAUUCUUCUUCUAACACGGCCCAGGGAAGCCAAAAGAUUGGACUUCGCCACUUUAAGAUAAGCGGUUGUUGACUUUAAGACAAAAAAGGACACUUUAUAAUGACUAAAAAAAUCAAUCCAUCAGGAAUACACACCAUUAUAAACAUAAUGUACCAAACAACUGAGCACCAAAACACAUGAAGCAAAAACUGGUAACACUGAAGGGAGAAACAGACAACUUAACAAAAGUAGUUGAAGACUUCAGUGCCCAACUUUCAAUAAUGGACGGAACAGCUAGGCAGAAGAUCAGCAAGGAAACAGAAGGCUGAACAAGCUACACCUACAGACCACUGCAGAACACCCAAUCACAGAACACACAUUCUUCUGAAGAGCACAUGAAACAUUUGCCAGGAAACAUCAAAUGCUAAACCAUAAAACAAGCCUCAAUAAAAUUAAGAGGACUGAUAUCA